UGGACGAAAGUCUGACGGAGCAACGCCGCGUGAGUGAAGAAGGUUUUCGGAUCGUAAAACUCUGUUUUCAGGGACGAAUGUGUGGAUUGUAAAUAAUGAUCCAUAAUGACGGUACCUGACAAGAAAGCCACGGCUAACUACGUGCCAGCAGCCGCGGUAAUACGUAGGUGGCAAGCGUUGUCCGGAAUUAUUGGGCGUAAAGCGCGCGCAGGUGGGAUAAUCAGUCUGAUGUUAAAGUUCGGGGCUUAACCCCGUGAAGCAUUGGAUACUGUUAUUCUUGAGUGCAGGAGAGGAAAGUGGAAUUCCUAGUGUAGCGGUGAAAUGCGUAGAUAUUAGGAGGAACACCAGUGGCGAAGGCGACUUUCUGGACUGUGUCUGACACUGAGGCGCGAAAGCCAGGGUAGUGAACGGGAUUAGAUACCCCGGUAAUCCUGGCCGUAAACGAUGGGUACUAGGUGUUGGGGGUAUCGACCCCUCCAGUGCCGGAGUUAACGCAAUAAGUACCCCGCCUGGGGAGUACG
rnacentral:rRNA from 1 species